rnacentral:tRNA from 1 species
GGGGUUGUGGCUCAGAGGUGGAGUGCUCGCCUAGUAUGCGUGAAAUAUUGGGUUCGAUCUUCAGCACCACA